CAGUAGCCGCGGUAAAACAGAGGGUGCGAGCGUUAAUCGGAUUUACUGGGCGUAAAGCGUGCGUAGGCGGCUAAUUGAGUCGGAUGUGAAAUCCCCGAGCUUAACUUGGGAAUUGCAUUCGAUACUGGUUAGCUAGAGUGUGGGAGAGGAUGGUAGAAUUCCAGGUGUAGCGGUGAAAUGCGUAGAGAUCUGGAGGAAUACCGAUGGCGAAGGCAGCCAUCUGGCCUAACACUGACGCUGAGGUACGAAAGCAUGGGGAGCAAACAGGAUUAGAUACCCCAGUAGUCCCUGUCUCUUAUAC
rnacentral:rRNA from 1 species